rnacentral:rRNA from 1 species
GUGAGGAAUAUUGGACAAUGGGCGCAAGCCUGAUCCAGCCAUGCCGCGUGCAGGAAGACGCAUCUAUGGUGUGUAAACUGCUUUUGUACGGGAAGAAACACUCCCUCGUGAGGGAGCUUGACGGUACCGUAAGAAUAAGGAUCGGCUAACUCCGUGCCAGCAGCCGCGGUAAUACGGAGGAUCCAAGCGUUAUCCGGAAUCAUUGGGUUUAAAGGGUCCGUAGGCGGUUUAAUAAGUCAGUGGUGAAAGCCCAUCGCUCAACGAUGGAACGGCCAUUGAUACUGUUAGACUUGAAUUACAAGGAAGUAACUAGAAUAUGUAGUGUAGCGGUGAAAUGCUUAGAUAUUACACAGAACACCAAUUGCGAAGGCAGCUUACUGGGAUGCAACUGACGCUGAGGCACGAAAGCGUGGGGAUCAAACAGGAUUAGAUACCCGAGUAGUCC